UGUGCGAUAAAUCAUUCAAGUUUCUGCCCUAUCAGCUUUGGAUGGUAGUGUAUUGGACUACCAUGGCAGUCACGGGUAACGGAGAAUUAGGGUUCGAUUCCGGAGAGGGAGCCUGAGAAACGGCUACCACAUCUACGGAAGGCAGCAGGAGCGAAAAUUGCCCAAUCCCGACACGGGGAGGCAGUGACGAGAAAUAACAACUCUUGGUUAUUCUAAGAAGUGUAAUGAGGAUAAUUUAAAACCCUUACCGAAAGCAAUUGGAGGGCAAGUCUGGUGCCAGCAGCCGCGGUAAUUCCAGCUCCAAUAGCGUAUAUUAAAGUUGUUGCAGUUAAAAAGCUCGUAGUUGAAGUUCUGGCUGCUUGACCCUCGAGCUCUGUAGCCGAGGGCUCAGCAGUCAUCCGCUUGCAAAUAUAUGUUCGCCUUUAACCGGGCGGCUAUAUGAGUAAGUAUUUUACCUUGAGAAAAACAGAGUGUUCCAGGCAGGUUUGUCCGGAAUGCAUUAGCAUGGAAUAAUAGAAUAUGACUGAAGUCGAUUUAUUGGUUUGAGGCUUUAGUAAUGAUUAAUAGGAACAGUCGGGGGCAUUGGUACUUGUCAGUCAGAGGUGAAAUUCUAGGAUUUGACAAAGGCUAACAAAUGCGAAAGCAUUUGCCAAGGAUGUUUUCAUUAAUCAAGAACGAAAGUUAGGGGAUCAAAGACGAUCAGAUACCGUCCUAGUCUUAACUAUAAACUAUACCGACUCGGAUUCAGAUGAAUCAUAAAGUUCAUUUGGGACCGUAGGAGAAAUCAAAGUUUUUGGGUUCUGGGGGAAGUAUGGUCGCAAGGCUGAAACUUAAAGGAAUUGACGGUUUUGCACCACCAUGGAGUGGAGUCUGCGGCUUAAUUUGACCCAACACUGGGAAACUCAUCAGGGCAAGAAGAUUGUAGGAUUGACAGAUUGAGAGUUCUUUCUUGAUUGGUCUAGUGGUGGUGCAUGGCCGUUCUUAGUUGGUGGAGUGAUUUGUCUGGUUAAUUCCGUUAACGAACGAGACCUUAACCUGCUAACUAGUACACCGAUGACAAAUCGGUGAUACUUCUUAGAGGGACUAUGUGAUGUAAUCACAUGGAAGUUUGAGGCAAUAACAGGUCUGUGAUGCCCUUAGAUGUCCUGAGCUGCACGCGUACUACAAUGGUGCUUUCAUCGAGCUUUUCCUGAUCCGAAAGGAUUUGGGUAAUCUUUUUAGUGAGCACCGUGCUUGGGAUAGAUCUUUGUAAUUAUGGAUCUUGAACUAGGAAUUCCUAGUAAGCACGUGUCAUCAGCA
rnacentral:rRNA from 1 species